GCGGGAGUAGUUUAAUGGUAGAACCUCAGUUUUCCAAACUGACCGCGCGGGUUCGAUUCCCGCCUUCCGCU
rnacentral:tRNA from 2 species